rnacentral:rRNA from 1 species
CCUACGGGCGGCAGCAGUAGGGAAUAUUGCUCAAUGGGGGAAACCCUGAAGCAGCAACGCCGCGUGGAGGAUGAAGGUUUUCGGAUUGUAAACUCCUUUUGUUAGAGACGAUAAUGACGGUAUCUAAAGAAUAAGAACCGGCUAACUCCGUGCCAGCAGCCGCGUUAAUACGGAGGGUGCAAGCGUUACUAGGAAUUACUGGUCGUAAAGAGCGCGGAGGCGGGAGAGCAAGUCAGAUGUGAAAUCCUAUGGCUUAACCAUAGAACUGCAUUUGAAACUGUUAUUCUAGAGUAUGGGAGAUGUAGGUGGAAUUCUUGGUGUAGGGGUAAAAUCCGUAGAGAUCAAGAGGAAUACUCAUUGCGAAGGCGACCUGCUAGAACAUAACUGACGCUGAUGCGCGAAAGCGUGGGGAGCAAACAGGAUUAGAUACCCGUGUAGUC